AGCAGUAGCCGCGGUAAAACGAAGGGGGCUAGCGUUGCUCGGAAUGACUGGGCGUAAAGGGCGCGUAGGCGGCGGCCAAAGUCAGGCGUGAAAUUCCCGGGCUCAACCUGGGGGCUGCGUUUGAUACUUGGUUGCUUGAGUGGGGAAGAGGGUCGUGGAAUUCCCAGUGUAGAGGUGAAAUUCGUAGAUAUUGGGAAGAACACCGGUGGCGAAGGCGGCGACCUGGUCCUUUACUGACGCUGAGGCGCGAAAGCGUGGGGAGCAAACAGGAUUAGAUACCCCAGUAGUCCCUGUCUCUUAUAU
rnacentral:rRNA from 1 species